rnacentral:rRNA from 1 species
AACGAACGCUGGCGGCACGUUUUAAGCAUGCAAGUCGAAUGGCAGCAGAGGCAACUCUGUGAGAAUGGCGAACGGGUGAGUAACACGUAGGUGAUCUGCCUUGAGGAUGGGGAUAGCCUGUGGAAACACAGGGUAAUACCGAAUGAGCUGACGAGACUUUGGUUUUGUUAGUAAAGGUGCUACGGCACCGCCUUGAGAGGAGCCUGCGGCUGAUUAGCUAGUUGGUGGGGUAAGAGCUUACCAAGGCGACGAUCAGUAGCCGGCCUGAGAGGGUGUCCGGCCACACUGGAACUGAGACACGGUCCAGACUCCUACGGGAGGCAGCAGCUAAGAAUCUUCCGCAAUGGGCGAAAGCCUGACGGAGCGAUGCCGCGUGAUCGAUGAAGGUCGAGAGAUUGUAAGGAUCUUUUCUACAUGAGGAAUAAGUCUGGGAGGGAAUGCCCGGAUGAUGACGUUAGUGUAGGAAUAAGCCCCGGCUAAUUACGUGCCAGCAGCCGCCGUAA